rnacentral:rRNA from 1 species
GGUAGUCCACGCCGUAAACGAUGUCGACUUGGAGGUUGUGCCCUUGAGGCGUGGCUUCCGGAGCUAACGCGUUAAGUCGACCGCCUGGGGAGUACGGCCGCAAGGUUAAAACUCAAAUGAAUUGACGGGGGCCCGCACAAGCGGUGGAGCAUGUGGUUUAAUUCGAUGCAACGCGAAGAACCUUACCUGGUCUUGACAUCCACGGAAGUUUUCAGAGAUGAGAAUGUGCCUUCGGGAACCGUGAGACAGGUGCUGCAUGGCUGUCGUCAGCUCGUGUUGUGAAAUGUUGGGUUAAGUCCCGCAACGAGCGCAACCCUUAUCCUUUGUUGCCAGCGGUCCGGCCGGGAACUCAAAGGAGACUGCCAGUGACAAACUGGAGGAAGGUGGGGAUGACGUCAAGUCAUCAUGGCCCUUACGACCAGGGCUACACACGUGCUACAAUGGCGCAUACAAAGAGAAGCGACCUCGCGAGAGCAAGCGGACCUCAUAAAGUGCGUCGUAGUCCGGAUUGGAGUCUGCAACUCGACUCCAUGAAGUCGGAAUCGCUAGUAAUCGUGGAUCAGAAUGCCACGGUGAAUACGUUCCCGGGCCUUGUACACACCGCCCGUCACACCAUGGGAGUGGGUUGCAAAAGAAGUAGGUAGCUUAACCUUCGGGAGGGCGCUUACCACUUUGUGAUUCAUGACUGGGGUG